rnacentral:tRNA from 1 species
AAAAAGAUAAGCUAAAUUAAGCUAAUGGGCUCAUAACCCAUUUAUGAAAAAAAUUCUCUUUUUA